rnacentral:rRNA from 1 species
GACGAACGCUGGCGGCGUGCUUAACACAUGCAAGUCGAGCGGAAAGGCCACUUCGGUGGUACUCGAGCGGCGAACGGGUGAGUAACACGUGAGUAAUCUGCCCCUGGCUUUGGGAUAGCCACCGGAAACGGUGAUUAAUACCGGAUACGACCACUUCUCGCAUGGGAUGGUGGUGGAAAGUUUUUUCGGCCAGGGAUGUGCUCGCGGCCUAUCAGCUUGAUGGUGGGGUAAUGGCUCACCAUGGCUUCGACGGGUAGCCGGCCUGAGAGGGUGGCGGGUCACACUGGGACUGGGGCCAGGCCCGGACUCCUCCGGGAGGAAGCAUGGGGGAAUAUUGGACAAUGGGCGGAAGCGUGAUCCAGCAACGCCGCGUGAGGGAUGACGGCCUUCGGGUUGUAAACCUCUUUCAGCAGGGACGAAGCGCAAGUGACGGUACCUGCAGAAGAAGCACCGGCCAACUACGUGCCAGCCGCCGCAGUAA